rnacentral:rRNA from 1 species
AGAGUUUGAUCCUGGCUCAGGACGAACGCUGGCGGCGUGCUUAACACAUGCAAGUCGAGCGGAAAGGCCCCUUCGGGGGUACUCGAGCGGCGAACGGGUGAGUAACACGUGGGUAAUCUGCCAAGACACAGGAAUAACCAGUGGAAACGCUGGCUAAUGCCUGAUGACGUGCCGGCCUUUCGGGGCUUGUACCAAAGGUAGCUUCGGCCUCCGGUCUUGGAUGAGCCCGCGUCCCAUUAGCUUGUUGGUGAGGUAACGGCUCACCAAGGCGACGAUGGGUAGCUGGUCUGAGAGGACGAUCAGCCACACUGGGACUGAGACACGGCCCAGACUCCUACGGGAGGCAGCAGUGGGGAAUCUUGCGCAAUGGGCGAAAGCCUGACGCAGCAACGCCGCGUGCGGGAAGAAGGUCUUAGGGUUGUAAACCGCUUUCAGCAGGGACGAAGGCAAUCGGGUUAAUAGCCCGUGAGUUGACGGUACCUGCAGAAGAAGGUCCGGCUAACUACGUGCCAGCAGCCGCGGUAAUACGUAGGGACCAAGCGUUGUCCGGAAUCAUUGGGCGUAAAGAGCGUGUAGGCGGCUUGUUAAGUCUUGUGUGAAAUCUCGGGGCUCAACCCCGAGCGGUCAUGAGAAACUGGCAGGCUAGAGUGCGGGAGAGGAGAGUGGAAUUCCUGGUGUAGCGGUGAAAUGCGCAGAUAUCAGGAAGAACACCCGUGGCGAAGGCGGCUCUCUGGAACGCAACUGACGCUGAGACGCGAAAGCGUGGGGAGCAAACAGGAUUAGAUACCCCGGUAGUCC